UUUAAUGUAUAUAAACACACCCAAAAUAAACCCAAAAAUCGACAGCUGUAUAUUUUUUAAUUUAAUUAUUAAGAUGAAAUACUUUUAUUACCCUUUUAACAUAAAAUAGGAGUUCUAAUCAACACCAGAUCAGAACUCAUUUCACGACCUCCAGUCUCUCAUCUUCAUCUUCAACCUCAAUUUUCAAUUUUUGUUCUUCCAGCUCAGUUUUUGUUCAACCUCAUCAUUCUAAGCUUCGUCGGAGGGCUCGCCUGGACCACCGACAAUGAUGCGCUGGAGAGGGCCUUUUCUCCGUUCGGUGAGAUCAUCGAAUUGAAGGGCCGUUUGACGCAGAUCAUCAAUGACCGUGAGACUGGGAGAUCCAGGGGCUUCGGCUUCGGCACCUUCAGCAACGAGAAGGCCAUGAGGGACGCGAUCGAAGGCAUGAACGACCAGAACCUCGACGGUCGUAACAUCACCAUCAACGAGGCCCAGUCUUGUGGAAGCAGCAUUGGUGGUAACGGAGAUUUGGUGAACAACCUUGGUACCAUUGCAAGGGUGGCACCAAGGAAUUAAUGGAAGCCUUGGCUGCUGGUGCUUAUCUUGUUGCAGAUAAGGUCAUUGUUACAACCAAGCACAAUGAUCAUGAGAAGUAUGUGUGGGAGCCACUCCGAUUCAAUGUUUAUGAUGUAUUUCCUUUUGCCUUUGCGAUUGUACCUGGUGAAACU